CACACAUCACACUUAGUUUCUCUCUUUAUUACUGGCUUUGUUUUUUUUUUUUUUGACUUUUGCUCUCAACGUGGUGACCAAUUCUGCUAGUUCCAUCCAUCACCUGUGUUGGGUCUCAGCUGUGAUUUUUUGUUUUUAAAACAUCCUUCUUGGGGUCUCUUCUGUUCAGCUCCACGGAGACAGCUAAGCGUUUUCUAGCGGUUUGUGUUCUUAUAUCCCUUGCAUUCAAUCCAGCUUUGUCAACCCAAGCUCCACAUUCAGUGACAUCACACUGAUUGCUUGAAAUUGGCUGUGGUAGAAGUAUGUAUCCCACAGAAAUCAGAUGCUACAAAUCAGGAACCACUUCUACCUUCAGUUCCAAUUGGAAAAUGAAUUUCUCAGUUACUUAUCAACUUAAAUGAUGUGCUCCUCGUCCCCUGCCCUCCUCUCUCUUCUCUCAGAGCCUCAGACUAAGUGAAAAUAUUCCCCUCAGCAUUUGCUGUCUGCUUUCAAGGCUCUUCUAGACGACCUGCCCAUGCUCAGCUUUGGAGGUAUCUUUUAAAGAAUUGUUUCUGGGGCCGGCCCCAUGGCAGAGUGGCUAAGUUUGCGUCCUCUGCUUCAACGGCUCAGGGUUUCACGGGUUUGGAUCCCGGGUGCGGACAUGGACAUGGCACCGCUCUUUGGGCCAUGCUGAGGCAGCAUCCCACAUAGCAGAGCCAAGAGGACCUACAACUAGAAUGCACAAUUAUGUUCUCGGGGGCUUCAGGGAGAAGAAGAGAAAAAAAGAAAAGACAAAGAAGAUUGGCAACAGAUGUUAGCUCAAGUGCCAAUCUUUAAAAAAAAAAGAAAAAAGAAAAUUGUUUCUCUUGUAGUGAUGGAAAUAUUUAUUUGAAGUUCAGCAGUUCUUCUGUUUCACAUCUAUUAAAAUAAACUAAAAUUAAGUUUAAUUCCUUUAAUUUAAAAAGCAUCUAUGGUGUAAGCUCAUUUUUUAAAAAUGUAUUCUAUCUAUUUUUCUAACUCCACAUUUGCAUUUAAAAAGAUGCUUUGGAUAACAAAGGGUGUUUGGUUGUGUUAUCCUAAAUAAAGAAUAGAAUUUCAGGAUAGAGGGAUUUGAGCUAUUUCUAUAUUUCUAAUUCUUUUUAC
rnacentral:lncRNA from 1 species